CAGUUUCGGCCUACAAUGGCCCAUUUUGAAUUUCCUCAGUUAGUUAGACCCUCCAAACGGGCCAACUAAACCCAAUAAUGGGUUGAGAUCUCCCACCUCUCUUCCUUAUCCGCGAGAGUGGCCCGGACUCGUAAACCACCGUUCUCGCCCCACUCGUUCGUCGUCCUCGACCGCGCUAGCCCUAAACCCUAACCCUAACUCUAACCCUCACGCGCCACGUCGUCUAUGCUUGAGGUUAAAUGCUCCAUAUUCCUGUUCCGUGGAUUCGAUUCUCCACGGCCUCACGGGAAUUUUCGUAGAAAAAUGUAGCACGCUACCCACUUCAUUCAUUCAGGAUGUGAACUAAACUAUAUGGGUGAGGCAACUCAGGCCUCGGGGGUGGCGAAAAAAAAAAACCGAUAACAUUUAAGUCUCUCCACAGUGCGCAGUUUCUCUCACAGACUCGUCAGUUGUUUAAUCUUAUAAAUCCCAAACUUCCACUGUAACAGGCACCUUUGGGAAAAGGGGUGGAUUCAGAAGCAGUUCUUUUUCACCAAGGUUAAAAAUGGAAAGGUGGUAACUUUUCUUUUCUGCUUCUUCUGUUUAUUCUAGUGACUAGCCUGAUUAAUUCUCCGGCGCUUACGUUUGGGCUGCUGAUCCACUGUGGGUUUGAUUUAGUCUAUUUUCAAUACUAUGAGGAUUUAUGAUCAAUUGAUGGUGAAUUUCUAUUCAUUUUUUGUUUUUGAACAUAAUAUGCAAGAAUUUCAAAUGUAUGGAGUCAACGUCGACUAUGUCUUUCGAAACUAGUCCCUGGACUUAUUUUUUGGAUUUGAGAACUGCAAUAAAGUAUCAUCUGGUUUCAGAA